AUUGAACGCUGGCGGCAGGCCUAACACAUGCAAGUCGAGCGCGUGGCGGACGGGUGAGUAAUGUCUGGGAAACUUCCUGCUGGCGGAGGAUAACUACUGUAAACGGUAGCUAAUACCGCAUACCAUCGUAGCUGCCCAGAUGGGAUUAGCUAGUGGGUGGGGUAAAGGCUCACCAAGGCGACGCUCCCUAGCUGGUCUGAGAGGAUGACCAGCCACACUGGAACUGAGACACGGUCCAGACUCCUACGGGAGGCAGCAGUGGGGAAUAUUGCACAAUGGGCGCAAGCCUGAUGCAGCCAUGCCGCGUGUAUGAAGAAGGCCUUCGGGUUGUAAAGUACUUUCAGCGAGGAGGCGUUACCCGCAGAAGAAGCACCGGCUAACUCCGUGCCAGCAGCCGCGGUAAUUC
rnacentral:rRNA from 1 species